rnacentral:rRNA from 1 species
UACGGGGGGAGCAAGCGUUGUUCGGAUUUACUGGGCGUAAAGGGCGCGUAGGCGGCCACCGCAAGUCGGUUGUGAAAUCUCUGGGCUUAACCCAGAAAGGUCAACCGAUACUGCGGGGCUAGAGUGCAGAAGGGGCAACUGGAAUUCUCGGUGUAGCGGUGAAAUGCGUAGAUAUCGAGAGGAACACCUGCGGCGAAGGCGGGUUGCUGGGCUGACACUGACGCUGAUGCGCGAAAGCGUGGGGGAGCAAACAGG